CCACAUGAACCCAAGGACA
rnacentral:tRNA from 1 species